GACGAACGCUGGCGGCGUGCUUAACACAUGCAAGUCGAACGGAAAGGCCCUGCUUUUGUGGGGUGCUCGAGUGGCGAACGGGUGAGUAACACGUGAGUAACCUGCCCUUGACUUUGGGAUAACUUCAGGAAACUGGGGCUAAUACCGGAUAGGAGCUCCUGCUGCAUGGUGGGGGUUGGAAAGUUUCGGCGGUUGGGGAUGGACUCGCGGCUUAUCAGCUUGUUGGUGGGGUAGUGGCUUACCAAGGCUUUGACGGGUAGCCGGCCUGAGAGGGUGACCGGCCACAAUGGGACUGAGAUACGGCCCAGACUCCUACGGGAGGCAGCAGUGGGGAAUAUUGCACAAUGGGCGGAAGCCUGAUGCAGCAACGCCGCGUGCGGGAUGACGGCCUGCGGGUUGUAAACCGCUUUCGCCUGUGACGAAGCGUGAGUGACGGUAAUGGGUAAAGAAGCACCGGCUAACUACGUG
rnacentral:rRNA from 1 species